AUAACUUCCUGCAGCGACCAACAGGCUAAAGAGGGGGAAGUUCUGGAGGGAUCCAGCACCGGCUCCUCCUCCGGCAACCACGGUGGGAGCGGCGGAGGAAAUGGACAUAAACCCGGGUGUGAAAAGCCAGGGAAUGAAGCCCGCGGGACCGGCGAAUCUGGGAUUCAGGUGAGAGCCAAAGUCUCUUCAGUCUCCUGGGGACUGCAGUUCCUGCCCAGGACUGUGCCCGCUCCUCCUAACUCAGCUCUGCUCAACCCCCUCCUGCCUUGUCUGCGGGGAACUGACUAUUUCGGCAGAAGAAACCAAAUGCACUCCUAAAAAUGCUAACAAUUUCCAAAGUACUAAUUAAUUGCAAAUCUUGCUGUGUUAUACCUCACCUUAUACCACAGAUGGGGCUGGGAGAAAUUCCACGUAAACCGGUCCUUUUAGAAGCACAAUUGUCUUAAAUGUCCUCUAUCCAGCCGGGGAACAGACUGUGGUGAACUCUGGGGGAUUCAGAGUGCUUUGGAAAAACAUUCCCCCCAGUUAUGCUGGAAAUGUGGGCUUUAUGUCAGCACCUG
rnacentral:sRNA from 1 species